rnacentral:rRNA from 1 species
GGUGGGAGGCUUUGAAGUGUGGACGCCAGUCUGCAUGGAGCCGGCCUUGAAAUACCACCCUUUAAUGUUUGAUGUUCUAACGUGGACCCGUGAUCCGGGUUGCGGACAGUGUCUGGUGGGUAGUUUGACUGGGGCGGUCUCCUCCUAAAGAGUAACGGAGGAGCACGAAGGUUGGCUAAUCCUGGUCGGACAUCAGGAGGUUAGUGCAAUGGCAUAAGCCAGCUUGACUGCGAGCGUGACGGCGCGAGCAGGUGCGAAAGCAGGUCAUAGUGAUCCGGUGGUUCUGAAUGGAAGGGCCAUCGCUCAACGGAUAAAAGGUACUCCGGGGAUAACAGGCUGAUACCGCCCAAGAGUUCAUAUCGACGGCGGUGUUUGGCACCUCGAUGUCGGCUCAUCACAUCCUGGGGCUGAAGUAGGUCCCAAGGGUAUGGCUGUUCGCCAUUUAAAGUGGUACGCGAGCUGGGUUUAGAACGUCGUGAGACAGUUC